ACGGGAGGCAGCAGUGGGGGAUAUUGCACAAUGGGGGAAACCCUGAUGCAGCGACGCCGCGUGAGGGAAGAAGGUUUUCGGAUUGUAAACCUCUGUCUUAUGGGACGAUAAUGACGGUACCAUAGGAGGAAGCCACGGCUAACUACGUGCCAGCAGCCGCGGUAAUACGUAGGUGGCAAGCGUUGUCCGGAAUUACUGGGUGUAAAGGGAGCGUAGGCGGGAAUGCAAGUUGAAUGUUUAAUCUAUCGGCUCAACUGAUAGUCGCGUUCAAAACUGCGUUUCUUGAGUGAAGUAGAGGCAAGCGGAAUUCCUAGUGUAGCGGUGAAAUGCGUAGAUAUUAGGAGGAACACCAGUGGCGAAGGCGGCUUGCUGGGCUUUUACUGACGCUGAGGCUCGAAAGUGUGGGUAGCAAACAGGAUUAGAUACCCUGGUA
rnacentral:rRNA from 1 species